rnacentral:rRNA from 1 species
GACGAACGCUGGCGGCGUGCUUAACACAUGCAAGUCGAACGGAAAGGCCCUGCUUUUGUGGGGUGCUCGAGUGGCGAACGGGUGAGUAACACGUGAGUAACCUGCCCUGGACUUUGGGAUAACUUCAGGAAACUGGGGCUAAUACCGGAUAGGAGCUCCUGCUGCAUGGUGGGGGUUGGAAAGUUUCGGCGGUUGGGGAUGGACUCGCGGCUUAUCAGCUUGUUGGUGGGGUAGUGGCUUACCAAGGCUUUGACGGGUAGCCGGCCUGAGAGGGUGACCGGCCACAUUGGGACUGAGAUACGGCACAGACUACUACGGGACGCAGCAGUGGGGAAUAUUGCACAAUGGGCGGAAGCAUGAUGCAGCAACGCCGCGUGCGGGAUGACGGCCUUCGGGUUGUAAACCGCUUUCGCCUGUGACGAAGCGUGAGUGACGGUAAUGGGUAAAGAAGCACCGGCUAACUACGUG